rnacentral:rRNA from 1 species
UACGGGGGGGGCAAGCGUUGUUCGGAAUUACUGGGCGUAAAGGGCUCGUAGGCGGCCAACUAAGUCGGAUGUGAAAUCCCCAGGCUUAACCUGGGAACUGCAUCCGAUACUGGAUGGCUUGAAUCCGGGAGAGGGAUGCAGAAUUCCAGGUGUAGCGGUGAAAUGCGUAGAUAUCGGGAGGAACACCUGUGGCGAAAGCGGCGCACUGGACCACAACUGACGCUGAGGCGCGAAAGCCAGGGGAGCAAACGGG